rnacentral:rRNA from 1 species
GCAAGUCGAACGUGAAGCUCCAGCUUGCUGGAGUGGAAAGUGGCGCAAGGGUGAGUAACACGUGAGUAAUCUGCCCCCGACUUCGGGAUAGCCCCGGGAAACUGGGAUUAAUACCGAAUGUGGUUUGUCCUGCACAUGCAGGACUCUACUAAAGAUUGAGUUCGGUCGGGGAUGAGCUCGCGGCCCAUUAGCUUGUUGGUAAGGUAACGGCUUACCAAGGCUACGACGGGUAGGUGGUCUGAGAGGAUGGUC